AUCGAACGCUGGCGGCAUGCCUAACACAUGCAAGUCGAGCGGAGCGGCGGACGGGUGAGUAAUGCCUAGGAAUCUGCCUGGUAGUGGUGGAUAACGUCCGGAAACGGGCGCUAAUACCGCAUACUAUCAGAUCAGCAUAGGUGGGAUUAGCUAGUUCGUGGGGUAAAGGCCUACCAAGGCGACGUACCGUAACUGGUCUGAGAGGAUGAUCAGCCACACUGGAACUGGGACACGGUCCAGACACCAAAGGGAGGCAGCAGAGGGGAAGAGUGGAAAAGGGGGGAAAGCCUGAUGCAGCCAGGACGGGUGUGGGAAGAAGGUCUUGGGAUUGUAAGGCAUGUUAAGUAGGGAGGCGGUACUAACAGAAUAAGCACCGGCUAACUACGUGCCAGCAGCCGCGGUAAUUC
rnacentral:rRNA from 1 species